UACGUAGGGCGCAAGCGUUAUCCGGAAUUAUUGGGCGUAAAGAGCUCGUAGCGGUUUGUCGCGUCUGCCGUGAAAGUCCGGGGCUCAACUCCGGAUCUGCGGUGGGUACGGGCAGACUAGAGUGAUGUAGGGGAGACUGGAAUUCCUGGUGUAGCGGUGAAAUGCGCAGAUAUCAGGAGGAACACCGAUGGCGAAGGCAGGUCUCUGGGCAUUAACUGACGCUGAGGAGCGAAAGCAUGGGGAGCGAACAGG
rnacentral:rRNA from 1 species